UUCACGUACCCCCAACCCCAAAGCCAAAGAUGCAAGCGAUCCACACAACGGCCAAUCGCUCCGAAUAUUUAUUCAGAUUCAUGAGCAUUUGGGCUGGGCAAGCAACCCAUAUACUGCCCACUCACGCAUUCAAAGAUCACGCAUGCUUAAAUCAUUAAAAUCUGCAGACGUGAGAUUAAUUUGUUGACAUAAAAUAUGGCGCUU
rnacentral:lncRNA from 1 species